rnacentral:rRNA from 1 species
UACGGAGGGUGCAAGCGUUAAUCGGAUUUAUUGGGCGUAAAGGGCUCGUAGGCGGUUUGUCGCGUCGGGAGUGAAAUCCACUGGCUUAACUGGUGGCUUGCUUUCGAUACGGGCAGACUGGAGGUAUGCAGGGGAGAACGGAAUUCCUGGUGUAGCGGUGAAAUGCGCAGAUAUCAGGAGGAACACCGGUGGCGAAGGCGGUUCUCUGGGCAUGUCCUGACGCUGAGGAGCGAAAGUGUGGGGAGCGAACAGG